rnacentral:rRNA from 11 species
GGGUUGUGAGGUUAAGCGACUAAGCGUACACGGUGGAUGCCCUGGCAGUCAGAGGCGAUGAAGGGCGUGCUAAUCUGCGAUAAGCGCCGGUAAGGUGAUAUGAACCGUUAUAACCGGCGAUACCCGAAUGGGGAAACCCAGUGUGAUUCGUCACACUAUCAUUAACUGAAUCCAUAGGUUAAUGAGGCGAACCGGGGGAACUGAAACAUCUAAGUACCCCGAGGAAAAGAAAUCAACCGAGAUUCCCCCAGUAGCGGCGAGCGAACGGGGAGGAGCCCAGAGCCUGAAUCAGCAUGUGUGUUAGUGGAAGCGUCUGGAAAGGCGCGCGAUACAGGGUGACAGCCCCGUACACAAAAGCGCAUGUGCUGUGAGCUCGAUGAGUAGGGCGGGACACGUGGUAUCCUGUCUGAAUAUGGGGGGACCAUCCUCCAAGGCUAAAUACUCCUGACUGACCGAUAGUGAACCAGUACCGUGAGGGAAAGGCGAAAAGAACCCCGGCGAGGGGAGUGAAAAAGAACCUGAAACCGUGUACGUACAAGCAGUGGGAGCACCCUUUGGGUGUGACUGCGUACCUUUUGUAUAAUGGGUCAGCGACUUAUAUUCUGUAGCAAGGUUAACCGAAUAGGGGAGCCGGAGGGAAACCGAGUCUUAAUUGGGCGUUAAGUUGCAGGGUAUAGACCCGAAACCCGGUGAUCUAGCCAUGGGCAGGUUGAAGGUUGGGUAACACUAACUGGAGGACCGAACCGACUAAUGUUGAAAAAUUAGCGGAUGACCUGUGGCUGGGGGUGAAAGGCCAAUCAAACCGGGAGAUAGCUGGUUCUCCCCGAAAGCUAUUUAGGUAGCGCCUCGUGAAUUCAUCUCCGGGGGUAGAGCACUGUUUCGGCUAGGGGGCCAUCCCGGCUUACCAACCCGAUGCAAACUGCGAAUACCGGAGAAUGUUAUCACGGGAGACACACGGCGGGUGCUAACGUCCGUCGUGAAGAGGGAAACAACCCAGACCGCCAGCUAAGGUCCCAAAGUCAUGGUUAAGUGGGAAACGAUGUGGGAAGGCCCAGACAGCCAGGAUGUUGGCUUAGAAGCAGCCAUCAUUUAAAGAAAGCGUAAUAGCUCACUGGUCGAGUCGGCCUGCGCGGAAGAUGUAACGGGGCUAAACCAUGCACCGAAGCUGCGGCAGCGACACUGUGUGUUGUUGGGUAGGGGAGCGUUCUGUAAGCCUGCGAAGGUGGCCUGUGAGGGUUGCUGGAGGUAUCAGAAGUGCGAAUGCUGACAUAAGUAACGAUAAAGCGGGUGAAAAGCCCGCUCGCCGGAAGACCAAGGGUUCCUGUCCAACGUUAAUCGGGGCAGGGUGAGUCGACCCCUAAGGCGAGGCCGAAAGGCGUAGUCGAUGGGAAACGGGUUAAUAUUCCCGUACUUGGUGUUACUGCGAAGGGGGGACGGAGAAGGCUAUGUUGGCCGGGCGACGGUUGUCCCGGUUUAAGCGUGUAGGUGUGUGUUCCAGGUAAAUCCGGUUCACUUUAACACUGAGGCGUGACGACGAGGCACUACGGUGCUGAAGCAACAAAUGCCCUGCUUCCAGGAAAAGCCUCUAAGCAUCAGGUAACAUCAAAUCGUACCCCAAACCGACACAGGUGGUCAGGUAGAGAAUACCAAGGCGCUUGAGAGAACUCGGGUGAAGGAACUAGGCAAAAUGGUGCCGUAACUUCGGGAGAAGGCACGCUGACACGUAGGUGAAGUGAUUUACUCAUGGAGCUGAAGUCAGUCGAAGAUACCAGCUGGCUGCAACUGUUUAUUAAAAACACAGCACUGUGCAAACACGAAAGUGGACGUAUACGGUGUGACGCCUGCCCGGUGCCGGAAGGUUAAUUGAUGGGGUCAGCGCAAGCGAAGCUCCUGAUCGAAGCCCCGGUAAACGGCGGCCGUAACUAUAACGGUCCUAAGGUAGCGAAAUUCCUUGUCGGGUAAGUUCCGACCUGCACGAAUGGCGUAAUGAUGGCCAGGCUGUCUCCACCCGAGACUCAGUGAAAUUGAACUCGCUGUGAAGAUGCAGUGUACCCGCGGCAAGACGGAAAGACCCCGUGAACCUUUACUAUAGCUUGACACUGAACAUUGAGCCUUGAUGUGUAGGAUAGGUGGGAGGCUUUGAAGUGUGGACGCCAGUCUGCAUGGAGCCGACCUUGAAAUACCACCCUUUAAUGUUUGAUGUUCUAACGUGGACCCGUUACCCGGGUUGCGGACAGUGUCUGGUGGGUAGUUUGACUGGGGCGGUCUCCUCCUAAAGAGUAACGGAGGAGCACGAAGGUUGGCUAAUCCUGGUCGGACAUCAGGAGGUUAGUGCAAUGGCAUAAGCCAGCUUGACUGCGAGCGUGACGGCGCGAGCAGGUGCGAAAGCAGGUCAUAGUGAUCCGGUGGUUCUGAAUGGAAGGGCCAUCGCUCAACGGAUAAAAGGUACUCCGGGGAUAACAGGCUGAUACCGCCCAAGAGUUCAUAUCGACGGCGGUGUUUGGCACCUCGAUGUCGGCUCAUCACAUCUGGGGCUGAAGUAGGUCCCAAGGGUAUGGCUGUUCGCCAUUUAAAGUGGUACGCGAGCUGGGUUUAGAACGUCGUGAGACAGUUCGGUCCCUAUCUGCCGUGGGCGCUGGAGAACUGAGGGGGGCUGCUCCUAGUACGAGAGGACCGGAGUGGACGCAUCACUGGUGUUCGGGUUGUCAUGCCAAUGGCACUGCCCGGUAGCUAAAUGCGGAAGAGAUAAGUGCUGAAAGCAUCUAAGCACGAAACUUGCCCCGAGAUGAGUUCUCCCUGAGACUUAAAGUCUCCUGAAGGAACGUUGAAGACGACGACGUUGAUAGGCCGGGUGUGUAAGCGCAGCGAUGCGUUGAGCUAACCGGUACUAAUGAACCGUGAGGCUUAACCUUACAACGCCGAAG